UACGUAGGUGGCAAGCGUUAUCCGGAUUUACUGGGCGUAAAGCGCGUGCAGGUGGCUGAGAAAGUUGGGUGUUAAAGCUUCCGGCUCAACCGGGAGUUGUCGCUCAAAACUAGCAGACUAGAGGAUGGUAGAGGGAGGUGGAAUUCCGGGUGUAGUGGUGAAAUGCGUAGAUAUCCGGAGGAACACCAGUGGCGAAGGCGGCCUCCUGGCCCAUUCCUGACACUCAAACGCGAAAGCUAGGGUAGCAAACGGG
rnacentral:misc_RNA from 1 species